rnacentral:rRNA from 1 species
AGAGCGAACGCUGGCGGCAGGCCUAACACAUGCAAGUCGAGCGCCCGUAGCAAUACGGGAGCGGCAGACGGGAUAGUAACACGUUGGAACGCGCCCUUCGGUUCGGAAUAACUCAGGGAAACUUGAGCUAAUACCGAAUACGCCCUUACGGGGAAAGAUUUAUUGCCGAAGGAACGGCCCGCGUCCGAUUAGCUAGUUGGUGAGGUAAUGGCUCACCAAGGCUACGAUCGGUAGCUGGUCUGAGAGGAUGACCAGCAUCACUGGGACUGAGACACGGCCCAGACUCCUACGGGAGGCAGCAGUGGGGAAUAUUGGACAAUGGGCGCAAGCCUGAUCCAGCCAUGCCGCGUGGAUGAUGAAGGCCUUAGGGUUGUAAAACUCUUUCGACGGGGACGAUAAUGACGGUACCCGUAGAAGAAGCUCCGGCUAACUUCGUGCCAGCAGCCGC